rnacentral:rRNA from 1 species
CUUUCUCCGCCGGCGACCGGCGCACGGGUGAGUAACACGUAUGCAACCUGCCCCUGUCAGGGGGACAACCCCGCCGAAAGGCGGGCUAAACCCGCGUACAUGCCACCGGGGCAUCCCGGAGGCAGGAAAGGCUUCGGCCGGACAGGGAUGGGCAUGCGGCGCAUUAGGCAGUAGGCGGGGUAACGGCCCACCUAACCGACGAUGCGUAGGGGUUCUGAGAGGAAGGUCCCCCCACACUGGUACUGAGACACGGACCAGACUCCUACGGGAGGCAGCAG